rnacentral:misc_RNA from 1 species
AAGACUAUAGACCUGCGGAGUACCUGCGGAAGGAUCAUUAUUGAAUUAUGUUUCUAAAUGGGUUGUAGCUGGCUCGUCAGAGCAUGUGCGCGCCUGUUUGGACUUCAUUUUCAUCCACCUGUGCACCUAUUGUAGUCUUUGGUUGGGUAUCAAGGAAGUGGUCAGCCUAUCAGCACUUGCUGGAUGUGAGGACUUGCAGUGUGAAAGCUUUGCUGUCCUUUACUUGAUCAUGGAGUUGUU